CUCACAAGUAACUGCUUGUUCUCUUCGGCGCCUCCAUCGUUGCUGCUGCGAUCCGGCGAUGGGGCGAGCGGGCAACAAACGCUGCAUCCUUGAAACCCUAAUCCUCGAUUGGUUCGAGCUUGAACCAGAUCCUUCCGGACUGUUUCCCUCUCAGAUCGAAAGGCUUCACCGUCGGACCUUGUUGCAGAACCCCUUUUGGGAUUGCUUUUAGGCGUUUGUUGCUCCAUUUGAAGCUGUGAGGGACCGGACCGGCUUUUCGUUUUACUUUUUAUUGGGUUAUUAAGAGCGUGACGUUGAGCAUGUUAUAUGUGUUGUAGCUGCUUGAAAUCCUAAGGAAAGCUCGACAUAGUUAACAUGGUUGAGACCUAUUCUUUGCUCUGGUCGUGAUGGAACAGUCAACUUACUCUUUGAAUCGCUCUGACGAUAUGCUAUGAAUUGGUUUUUGAUUUCUUGCACAGUUUCUGUAAUUCCUGUUUUCAGGAUCUAUGACAGGAGUUUAAGAAGUCAGUUAGCCUCAAAGGUGAUCAACCUGAUUUUUCUAUGCAGGAAUUGUGUCGUCAAGUGUACCACCAUCAUGAGAUAAUGACAAAUAACAAGGGGAGGGUGGGAGAGAGAGACAGACAGACAGAGACAGAGACUUGCUGUGAACAUAGAGGAUGACUAUUAAACUUCAACUAAUGUUAUGAACUGUAAAAUAAAGUGCGUACAAAAUCUGGCCGAUGAGCUUUAUAUAGAGUAUGGUGUCAUUGUCAUGCAGGAAUUGAUGCAUUAAUUAUCUACUUCACAAUUCCGAGAAAUUCUCUAUAACUAUUGAUGUGAUUUGUUCUAAACUUAUAGUAACAAAUCUCUGUUUUUAAUCUCUUCUUUUAUAUAAUUUUUUGGCAUUUUGACAUUUUAAUGUUUGUCCUACAUUAUGCUAUUUUCUGGUUAAGUGAAAUUAAUGUGUGUUCUUUAUGGUCAUUCGUAUGUUAAUAAUUCUUGACUUGGAAUGAUUUGUUGUUUUUGUCUUGGUCGGUGGCUGGAUUGAAUUUUUUGGUUGCCAAGAGAAGGCCUGCAUCAGUUGUACUUAACUUUAUUUUUCGUUACAUUCAAAGUCUAAUUGAACUUGAUUUGCUAAAAUGGUUGAGAUUAUGCAGAGAAGAUCAAUGAGAUGUCUCCACAUCUGGCACUGCGACAUGAGAACAACACUUUUGGUUCUGAUCUCAAAGAAAAACUUUGAAGGCCAAAUUGCACGCUGGCACUUAGUACUCUUCACCAAAUGUCUAUCAAAUAGAUGAGUUAUCCUGUCACUUCUGGAAUAUUGACUAUUCUUUUCUGUCAUACAAGUUUGAUGUUUCUAUGGCCUUAGUUAUGGAGAAACAAAUAUAAAGAAUCAAAAGGAAAACCAAGAGCAAAAUGGACUAUUCGAUAUUUUCAAAAGGCAUGCCAAAAUUGAGGCUUAUGAUAGAUGGAAAGGUGCAGGUUCUCUCGUUACUCCUGCAAAGAUUGAAGAAGCCACAGAGUAGUCAGCUGAUGGACAGGGAGGAUUAUCUUUCCAGUAAGAGGAUUGCUGAGGAAGCAGAAUCUGCAUUUGCUGCAAAGGCAUUAUUAAAGAGGGUGGUGAUGAAGAGAGAAAGAGAAGAAAAAAGAACAAAGAAGUGGCCGAGGUAGAGACAAGUGAUCUGCAGAUUUCUGAUGAAAUCACUGUAGAUGAAGCAAAGGAAAUAAAGGGGCAUCCAGUGCAUGAGGCUCCCGCCAAUGUGGGUUCUACGAGGAUCAACGUAUGCAGCCUUCCCUUUAAAUGUUUAAAGAGGCCUGUCUUUCGGGCCGUAAGGGCAUAACCUCAUCGUUGUACCAAGGCCCGCCCUUAUGAAGUCGAAGAAAUGCAGAUAAAAAGAAGAAAAGAUAGAGAAUGAUAUGACAUGUAGAGAAUUAAGAUCUUCCGCACCACUGGUUGAAGAGGACUGCAGCAGAAAAAAAAUGUAAGGACAGCAGACAGGAGCAGGGAGCAGCUGAUUCUUCAAGGAAGAGAAAGGAAAAAAGAAAGGCACGAAAGUCAACUGAUUGGGCUUGGGAUACAGAUGCAGGGAACUUAAUGCAUGCUUCAACAAUGGUCCUCCAAUUUUGGUUGCUACUUGCUAAUUGAGUCCCAAAGAUUGCAAAGUCAUUCUCUUAAUUGCUACUACUGAAAGAUCUGCCAAAGUCAUGGAUACGAUUACGAUAUCAAAUAUAAUAGUAACAGUUAUGUUGAAUGAUCUCUAUGUGACACAGCAGAUCGAAACAUCACACAACAUACUUGGAACAUCAAGGUUGAAGGCUGCUGCAAUCCCUCAGUAGCAGCGACUGGGGCAAACGGUGACCAUCGCUCGUCGACGGGGUGGUUGGCUGCAGAUGAGUAUCAGCACUAACGCAAUGAUGACUGCAACAAGGAAGCCCAUCAUGUCUAUCCCACCAUUUCCAUCAUCAUCAUCUGCUGCUCCACAGCAAAUUUUCCCCAUAGGAGAAGGCAGAGAGAGAGAGAGAGAGAGAGAGAGAGAGAGAGGUAAGAAGAACUAAGGUGAGGUUCCAAGAAUUAUAGAGUCAUGAACACAAGUGGUAGCUUUCCAGCUUUAAACUCCCAAUACUCUAUGAUUGAGCAGUUAGAAUAUCGCCAUCAUCUAGCUUAUUUCUUGA